GGGGGACUGAGACACGGCCCCCACUCCUACGGGAGGCAGCAGCUAAGAAUAUUGCACAAUGGACGAAAGUCUGAUGCAGCGACACCGCGUGAAGGAUGAAGGCCCUAGGGUUGUAAACUUCUUUUAUUAGGGAAUAGCAAGGAAGGUACCUAAUGAAUAAGCAACGGCUAACUACGUGCCAGCAGCCGCGGUAAUACGUAGGUUGCAAACGUUGUCCGGAAUCACUGGGCGUAAAGGGUCCGUAGGCGGUUUGAUAAGUCUCAUAUGAAAGCUUCAAGCUCAACUUGGAGAUGUUGUGAGAUACUGUCAGACUAGAGACUGUUAGAGGUAAGUGGAAUUCCAGGUGUAGUGGUGAAAUGCGUAGAUAUCUGGAGGAACACCAGUGGCGAAAGCGACUUACUGGGACAGUUCUGACGCUAAGGGACGAAAGCGUGGGGAGCGAACCGGAUUAGAUACCCGGGUAGUCCACGCUGUAAACGAUGAUUGCUAGGUUUUCGGGGCAUCGACCCCUCGUGAGCCGAAGUUAACGCGUUAAGCAAUCCGCCUGAGUAGUACGGCCGCAAGGCUAAAACUCAAAGGAAUUGACGGGGGACCGCACAAGCAGCGGAGCGUGUGGUUUAAUUCGAUGGUAAGCGAAGAACCUUACCAGGGUUUGACAUGUAAGUAGUACUGAACCGAAAGGGGAUGGACCCGCAAGGGAGCUUACACAGGUGUUGCAUGGUUGUCGUCAGCUCGUGCCGUGAGGUGUUGGGUUAAGUCCCGCAACGAGCGCAACCCUCUUUGUUAGUUGCACUCUCUAACGAUACUGCCCUUAAAAGGGAGGAAGGUGGGGAUGACGUCAAAUCAUCAUGGCUCUUACACCCUGGGCUACACACACGCUACAAUGGCAAGUACAGACGGUCGCCAACCCGCGAGG
rnacentral:rRNA from 1 species